rnacentral:rRNA from 1 species
CCUACGGGUGGCAGCAGUGGGGGAUAUUGUACAAUGGGGGGAACCCUGAUGCAGCGACGCCGCGUGUGGGAAGACGGUCCUCUGGAUUGUCAACCACUGUCCCCAGGGACGCAAUUGACGGUACCUGGGGAGGACGCUCCGGCUAACUACGUGCCAGCAGCCGCGGUAAUACGUAGGGCGCGAGCGUUGUCCGGAAUUACUGGGUGUAAAGGGCGCGUAGGCGGGGAUGCAAGUUGGGUGUCAAAACUACCGGCUCAACUGGUAGUCGCACUCAAAACUGCAGCUCUUGAGGGAAGUAGAGGCAGGCGGAAUUCCUAGUGUAGCGGUGAAAUGCGUAGAUAUUAGGAGGAACACCAGUGGCGAAGGCAGCCUGCUGGGCUUUUACUGACGCUGAGGCACGAAAGUGUGGGGAGCAAACAGGAUUAGAUACCCGGGUAGUC